GACGAAGGAUGCAAGCGUUAUCCGGAUUCAUUGGGUUUAAAGGGUGCGUAGGCGGGCAGGUAAGUCAGUGGUGAAAUCUCCGAGCUUAACUCGGAAACUGCCAUUGAUACUAUUUGUCUUGAAUAUUGUGGAGGUAAGCGGAAUAUGUCAUGUAGCGGUGAAAUGCUUAGAUAUGACAUAGAACACCAAUUGCGAAGGCAGCUUACUACACAAUGAUUGACGCUGAGGCACGAAAGCGUGGGGAUCAAACAGG
rnacentral:rRNA from 1 species